UAAUGUCUGGGAAACUGCCUGAUGGAGGGGGAUAACUACUGGGAACGGUAGCUAAUACCGCAUAAUGUCGCAAGACCAAAGUGGGGGACCUUCGGGCCUCAUGCCAUCAGAUGUGCCCAGAUGGGAUUAGCUAGUAGGUGGGGUAACGGCUCACCUAGGCGACGAUCCCUAGCUGGUCUGAGAGGAUGACCAGCCACACUGGAACUGAGACACGGUCCAG
rnacentral:rRNA from 1 species